GAUGAACGCUGGCGGCGUGCCUAAUACAUGCAAGUCGAGCGAACAGACGAGAAGCUUGCUCCUCUGAUGUUAGCGGCGGACGGGUGAGUAACACGUGGAUAACCUACCUAUAAGACUGGGAUAACUUCGGGAAACCGGAGCUAAUACCGGAUAAUAUAUUGAACCGCAUGGUUCAAUAGUGAAAGACGGUUUUGCUGUCACUUAUAGAUGGAUCCGCGCUGCAUUAGCUAGUUGGUAAGGUAACGGCUUACCAAGGCAACGAUGCGUAGCCGACCUGAGAGGGUGAUCGGCCACACUGGAACUGAGACACGGUCCAGACUCCUACGGGAGGCAGCAGUAGGGAAUCUUCCGCAAAGGGCGAAAGCCUGACGGAGCAACGCCGCGUGAGUGAUGAAGGUCUUCGGAUCGUAAAACUCUGUUAUUAGGGAAGAACAAAUGUGUAAGUAACUAUGCACAUCUUGACGGUACCUAAUCAGAAAGCCACGGCUAACUACGUG
rnacentral:rRNA from 1 species